CACUGGUGUCUCUGGAAUAGACUUUGCCUCUUGUUUCUCUGCUUUGAAAGUGCUGUUAAGGUUCAGUAGCUGAACUUCAGUCUGAUGAGGUAGCAGAUGCCAAAUGAGAGAAGGCACCUGUUCUGCACCCUUACUGCAUUAGGUCUAAGCCAAAUAUAUUCUUCCUUCACUACUGCUAGCUGUAACUUGGCCACUUUAUGUUCCCUAAGAGAUGAAGUAAGGAGGUCUCAGUCUUCUCCCACAUUCCAAGAAUGAGACUGUCUGUUGGCCAUGAUCACAGUAAAAGAUCUGCUAAGUAAUUGCUCAUCAAUGAAGUGUGUUUUUCCCAUUGAUUGAUGCCAUCCUACUAUAAACUGAUAAAAACAAUCUCUCAUCCAAUCUGGAGCCUUCAGAGGUAAAUAAUUUGCCAUGUCAACUGCUGCUCUAAAUAAUCCUUGGUUUAUGAGCUUCUAAACCCU